UACGGAGGGGGCUAGCGUUGUUCGGAAUUACUGGGCGUAAAGCGCACGUAGGCGGCUUCGCAAGUCAGGGGUGAAAGCCCGGGGCUCAACCCCGGAACUGCCUUUGAGACUGCGUCGCUUGAAUCCGGGAGAGGCGGGUGGAAUUCCGGGUGUAGAGGUGAAAUUCGUAGAUAUUUGGAAGAACACCAGUGGCGAAGGCGGGCCGCUGGGCCGGUAUUGACGCUGAGGUGCGAAAGCGUGGGGAGCAAACAGG
rnacentral:rRNA from 1 species